GAUGAAGAACGUAGCGAAAUGCGAUAAGUAAUGUGAAUUGCAGAAUUCAGUGAAUCAUCGAAUCUUUGAACGCACAUUGCGCCCCCUGGUAUUCCGGGGGGCAUGCCUGUCCGAGCGUCAUUACAACCCUCAAGCUCAGCUUGGUGUUGGGCCCCGCCGCCCCGGCGGGCCCUAAAGUCAGUGGCGGUGCCGUCCGGCUCCGAGCGUAGUAAUUCUUCUCGCUCUGGAGGUCCGGUCGUGUGCUCGCCAGCAACCCCCAAUUUUUUUCAGGUUGACCUCGGAUCAGGUAGGGAUACCCGCUGAACUUAAGCAUAUCUAGCGGAGGA
rnacentral:misc_RNA from 1 species